rnacentral:rRNA from 1 species
UACAGAGGUGGCAAGCGUUGUUCGGAAUUACUGGGCGUAAAGGGCGCGUAGGCGGCUCGACAAGUCCCGCGUGAAAGCCCCCGGCUCAACUGGGGAACUGCGCGGGAAACUGUCGGACUUGAGUUCGGGAGAGGGAAGCGGAAUUCCGGGUGUAGUGGUGAAAUGCGUAGAUAUUCGGAGGAACACCAGUGGCGAAGGCGGCUCACUGGCUCGAUACUGACGCUGAGACGCGAAAGCGUGGGGAGCGAACAGG